UGGGUUUGACAUAUACCGGAAAGCCGUAGAGAUACGGCCCCCCUUGUGGUCGGUAUACAGGUGGUGCAUGGUUGUCGUCAGCUCGUGUCGUGAGGUGUUGGGUUAAGUCCCGCAACGAGCGCAACCCUUGUCCCGUGUUGCCAGCAGGCCCUUGUGGUGCUGGGGACUCACGGGAGACCGCCGGGGUCAACUCGGAGGAAGGUGGGGAUGACGUUGUCGGAUU
rnacentral:misc_RNA from 1 species